UACCUCAAAAUUCCGCAACAGUCUGUUUCAUCAGUAAAGAAUCAUCAGGCGGUAUCAGGGAUGCCUGAUGAUUCUUUACUGAUGAAACAGACUGUUGCGGAAUUU